rnacentral:rRNA from 1 species
AUUGAACGCUGGCGGCAGGCCUAACACAUGCAAGUCGAGCGAGCGGCGGACGGGUGAGUAAUGUAUGGGGCCUGCUCGAUAGAGGGGGUUAACUACUGGAAACGGUGGCUAAUACCGCAUACUUUCGGCUAACCCAUGCGGGAUUAGCUAGUAGGUGGGGUAAAGGCUCACCUCGGCGACGAUCUCUAGCUGGUCUGAGAGGAUGAUCGGCCACACUGGGACUGAGACACGGCCCAGACUCCUACGGAGGCAGCAGUGGGGAAUAUUGCACAAUGGGCGCAAGCCUGAUGGAGCCAUGCCGCGUGUAUGAAGAAGGCCUUAGGGUUGUAAAGUACUUUCAGCAGGGAGGCGUUACCCACAGAGGAAGCCCCGGCUAACUACGUGCCAGCAGCCGCGGUAAUUC